CUCUGCUGGUAUUGAUGGAUGGUAUAGGUCUCACACUCUGCUGGUAUUGAUGGAUGGUAUAGGUCUCACUCUGCUGGUAUUGAUGGCUGGUAUAGGUCUCACUCUGCUGGUAUUGAUGGAUGGUACAGGUCUCACACUCUGCUGGUAUUGAUGGCUGGUAUAGGUCUCACUCUGCUGGUAUUGAUGGAUGGUAUAGGUCUCACUCUGCUGGUAUUGAUGGCUGGUAAAGGUCUCACUCUGCUGGUAUUGAUGGAUGGUAUAGGUCUCACUCUGCUGGUAUUGAUGGAUGGUAUAGGUCUCACUCUGCUGGUAUUGAUGGCUGGUAUAGGUCUCACACUCUGCUGGUAUUGAUGGAUGGUAUAGGUCUCACACUCUGCUGGUAUUGAUGGAUGGUAUAG
rnacentral:lncRNA from 1 species